CGUCGGUUACGUCUCAUCCCUUAUCCCAAAUUAAAUUGUUAUCGUUCUUCUUGGCCUAUGGUUCUUGAGACGAGAGAGGGUGUUGGGGGUCUUUCCGGCAACUACCUGCUACUCCGAUCACCACCUUCCUUUCCUCCAAACUGAUUCAGCGAAGUCGUGAAAAAACCGAAUGAACAAUAAGGAGAAAAAGGGGUUGUGACUGUGAAGCUUUCUGGCGACGACUAGGGUUUCGGCAUGAGUCUUUUGAGGUAGCGGGUUUGUUGAGACUCUAUCUAACCAUUUAGUUAUCACAGUGCAUGGCUGAUGUCGAUUGUACCAUAAUGAUGUGAACGUCGAUGUGUAUGUGGUUGAAUUCAGUAGAUAAAACGAGCCUGUAUUUGAGGCGUGUCUUCUUCCAAAGAGUUGUCUUCUUACUAACUGUUGUUGAUCGAGAUGAUGGAUUUCGUGGGAUCGAUGAUUAUCUUCAGUCAACAAAAGAUACAUCACAUAAAUGAACGUUCUUGAGUACAUGUGCUCGUGAGGGACCAUGAGAAGGUUAUUGUGCAACAGUCCUUAUAUAUUUGCUAAGGUAACUUCAUUAUUUUAAUCAUGGAAAAUAAUUCUAGUGGUAAAGUCAUGCAAAUGUGGCUGUAAUAUAUGAGGGUGUUUUCAUGAAAUGUGCAUCAUUACAAACCAUACAUUAAGGUAGUAAUUGAUAUAUAGUCAUUUACGUCAAAGAAGUAAACUGAAAUUGUACAAAAAUGAAGAAGUAAACUAUUUAUAGUAAUAAUUUCCAGUCGGGAUAAUAUAUAAUUGAUUAGGACGUAGAAUUAUAUUAAAUCCUAAUUAUCGUGAUAUAACAUGAUUCACCUUGGGACAAAAAUUCAUAUUAAUAUAGCAAGUGAUGGAGUGAAAACUUAUUAAUAGUGAAUUUACUUUAUAAUUAGAAUUGUGGGAAUAACAUGUUGACGUUGUUGUAGGAUGUCCACUUGAAUUGGUAAUUUGUAAACAAGUUUCAAUUUGCCAAAUUGUUAACCAGAAUAACCUUUGACAUUAUAUUACGUAAAUGAUAUUUGUAUAACAGAGAUUCUUUCAUUGGAAUGGACAUAUAUGGUUUACCUUGGUAAAUAAAUAUGAUGGUGAGAAAUUAUAUAAUUAUGGUGGGAUGAAGUUUUAAUGGUUUUAGUGGCUUAAACCUGUGAAUGGUCUAAAUUACGCAUGAUCGUGUUAUAAAUAAUAAUAAUAAUAUUAAACAACGAUGGGUAGAUUAUUAAAUUAUAAUCACAAGUAGUAACGGUUAUGACUACGAAGUUGUAAUUACUUAGUGAUAAAGUUAUAUGUGUUAAGAGGGGAGGAUUUGGCAACUUCAAGUGAACACGAGACUUGAAGUAGUAAAGAUGGAUUCGUCGAGGAAUAAGGUGAGUACUUGUUAGGAAUAAGCUAGGUGAGUCAAUCUUUAUAGUUAUUUAAAGUACUUGUUAAGAAUUCCACAUUUUAGAGGGAUUGGAAUGAACCUAGAAUGUUUAGGUUGCAUGUACCCCAAAUGUGAAUGAUAUGUUGAUGUGAAUGAUGUUUCUUUCAUGCUCUUCUUUUGUUUGCUAUUUUGAUGUGAAGGGUGUGAUAGGUCCAUGAUAAAAUUAAGGAUUUGUGAUAGUUGUGUGUGGUAUGUGCAUGCUAUGAUUUUUUGGAAAUACUUGUCUAUGUUGGUUAGGACAAUACAUGCUAGUGAUAUAAUAUGCCUUAACGAUGAAAUGAUGAUAUGUGCAUGAUUAUAUGAAGUUGUAAAAUGCCUAAAAUUGUUAUGUCUUGUUGCAUGUUUAUGUGUUUUGAAGUAUGGAAGUAAUAUGCUAGUUAAUAUUAAUAGAAAUUGAGCAUGAUUACUUAAGGAGGUUUGUAGUGUAAUCAUUGUGUGAUGAAUUAAUAAUAUGUUAAAUAAAAAAGGGAAUACACCACUGGGGCGUAAAUGGUAGCAACCUAGACUUAGGUGUGUGUACCCUAUCCAGAUAUUUGUGAGGGCCUUAUAGGUUGAAAGAUACCUAAAGGGAAAGAUCUUAAGGCAAUAGUGAUGCAUAGUGGUUUUUUUAGACAACCAUUCGAGACAUGGUUCAUGAACACUAAGGUGUUCGAGGACUGGAUGGGAAGUUUCUAGUGAUAGGAAACAAUGAUAAUUACCACCCUCGAACGACAAUGCGUGUACUUGUAUGUGCAAUGCCAGAGUAGUGAUUAGUGAACGCAACAAAACGGGAGCAAUGUUACGAGUGAGAGUCGCGUCUCACUUAGUGCAUUGAGUCGAGUCGGUCACGUUAGUAGUGAAUGAGGUUUUUACCUCUUGGGUUAGUGAUGGACCCAGGGUUAGUGAUAGACCCAUUGAGGGAAGGGUUAGGCUGGUGUAACGCCCGUAGAUCCGGGCUAGUCAAUUUAGAGAUAAUAGGGGUCGAAAACGACUUUUUGACAAAAUAUUAUUUAGAAUAAAUGAUCUUAACCAAGUUGUAGAAUAUGUCUCAAGGGUUCCGUACAUAUAAAGAACGCCGAAAUCCGAGUUAUAACGAAGAAGUUAUGGCUCGUCGAAGUUUUUCGGCAAAACCGACACGACACCGGGAGACGUAAAUAGUGAAGUUACAUUGGAGGACUUUUUAGCCUUAGUAAUAUAAACCAAAUUUGUAGUAUACGUAAAACAGAGAACAUCCAUAAAAAGAACGCCCAAAUCUGACUUCGUAUGAGGAAGUUAUGAUUUUUCUAAGAUUUGACAUAGCAGUGCACGACCUGAAACUUGAAUUUUAGUUCGAACGGUUUUUGGCUUACGCAACCUUAAUGAGAUUUGAAGAUCUCAUUAAUAGGAACCCAACGGUAAAAAGAUAGACGAAAACGGAGUCUGUAUGAAGGAGUUAUGAAUUCUCCGCGGUCAUUUAACAGUCUAAUCUUCUCCUACUGUUAAAUUUAAGAUCGGCUGAGAACUAGAAAACGGAGUCCAAAUGAAAGUUGUAGAUCUUGUUAUUACCUACGCAUGGAAAAAAAGAACGUCAAAAACGGAGUUCGUAUGCGAAAGUUAUGAAUUUUUGAAAAUCGGCUGAUUUCCACCCUGUGUGCGUCGCCACGUGUCAACACCAGGCGAAACCUUGGAGCCUACGCAACACCACGACAUGGUGAGGGCCACCACGACAUGGUGACGUUCCAGGAGCACUAUAAAUAGAGGUGCCGGGGCAACCCUCAACCUCACACCUUCACCCCUUCUUUCUCUCUCUAGAAACUCUCUCUUAAACCUCCCAAAACCCCCCAAAAAGCCCAGGGAACCCCCUAGCACGAGGCGGAAGCCCCGGAGCGCCUGACGGCUUCGAAAGGAAGAGCCUUCAGCUCAGAAACUCUACUCCGGCGGAGCCCGGUUUCUAAGGAAACCCGCUGUAAGUGAGCUAUACCUACCCUAUCUUUAGUAUAACUUAUGUUUUAAUAUAGUAACAUUAUUUGGAACUUAUAAUGAGUAUUUGGGCUAUUAUUAUGAGUUAUAUAAGAGUGUUUCUUAACGCUUAUAUAAUAGUAAUAAUAUCUAGACUAUUAAUUAGUCGUGGUUAACGUUAGACUAAACUCUAGUGGUAAUGAUACUAGGUUUUGUCCGAUGGAAAUUGUUUUAACAGUAACGAAGUGCUGUUCGAGUACCGAGUCAUCACCUUAUCAGGUGAGUGCAUGGUCCCUUUCAUCUUACACAUAGAUAUGAAGUAUUUUAUAUAAAUUACGUGCUGUGUGUGCAUAUUAUCUGAAUACUCGCUGUCUAUGCUGGAUGAACGAUUUUAUACAUGUUUUAAAUGAUUUAAAUUGUAUAUGUAUUUUAUAUCUACGAUAAUGUUGGGGCAUAACAUGGGUAGAUGUAAUAGAUGGAAUAUGAGUUGGAUGAUGAGUUGAGAGGUGUUAUAGACUACGAGGUGAGGGUGAGGGGUGGACAAUGUGAGAAGACUUUUCCCAAACGAUGGACCCAUCAUUCAGUAGAGUAUUGAUGACAACCACAGGCUAUUCUAUACAGUCCUGUGGAACACUAGCAGGCUCGCAACUUGUAGGNUGCCUAAACCUUGGCGAUCAUGCAGACUUGAUGCCUAAACCCUGGCGACUAUGUAGACUUAGUGCCCGUUGUGUAAACCUUGGCGAUCAUGCAAACUUGAUGCCUAACCCAUGGCGACUAUGCAGACUUAGUGCCUGUUGUGUAAACCGUGGCAACGAUGGACUUCGUGCCGAUUCCUUAGGAUGAUCCUUAGGAAUGAAUGAACGAGGAAUAGCUGAUUCUUAGGGUAGAUCCUUAAGACUAAAGAAGAUAAUGGGGAUGGGUAAUUGGGUUGAUUGUUUGAUUGUUUAAACAUAAUAAUUAUAUUAUUGUGGGUUGAAAACCCUAUGUACUCACCAGGUUUCCCAACCUGACCCACUCAGUUUAUUUAUAUCACAGGUGUUGAUAUGAAGUCACAUUACACUGAGUGAUUAAAGAGAAGUAGAUCACUAGUGUAAAUAAAUGUAAGUUCCGUUUAUGCUUAUGUUUUUGUAUUGACGAUGACAUCCCAAACGUUUUAAAAUGAAUAAAAUACGUUUCUUCAAAAAUGUUUUGAUAACGUAUUUAUCGUGUUUUUCUGGGAACAAAUUCCGCAACAUUUUUAUUAAAAGAAGUACUCUGAUUUUUAUAAAGCAUAAAAAAAUCGGUUUUUUUUGGGCGUGAAAAAUGGGGAUGUCAAAGCCAGUCACUUAUUAGUGAACGGGUUUUGCCUUUAGGUUAGUGAUGGACCUACAUGUGGGGUGUCUACCUUACGAGUUAGUGAUGGACCCAUGUGUGGGGAGUCUACCUUACGGAUUAAUGAUGGACCCAAGGAUAGGAA
rnacentral:lncRNA from 1 species